rnacentral:rRNA from 1 species
AAAGGAAUAGACGGGGGCUCACACAAGCGGUGGUGCAUGUUGCUUAAUUCGAGGCAACGCGAAGAACCUUACCUGGGUUUGACAUGCUGGUAUUAACUCUAUGAAAGUAGAGCCACAGUCGCAAGACCGGAACCAGCACAGGUGCUGCAUGGCUGUCGUCAGCUCGUGCUGUGAAGUGUCAGGUUAAGUCCUUUAACGAGCGCAACCCCUGUCGUUAGUUGCCCGCGCAAGCGGUACUCUAGCGAGACUGCCGGUGUCAAACCGGAGGAAGGUGGGGAUGACGUCAAGUCCUCAUGGCCCUUACAUCCAGGGUUGCAAACGUGCAACAAUGGCGUAUACAAAGCGAUGCGAGACCGCGAGGUGGAGCAAAUCGCAAAAAGUACGCCCCAGUUCGGAUUGCAGGCUGCAACUCGCCUGCAUGAAGCCGGAAUCGCUAGUAAUCGGAGAUCAGCUACGCUCCGGUGAAUGUGUUCCUGAGCCUUGUACACACCGCCCGU